rfam:Acidiferrobacter thiooxydans strain ZJ Contig_144, whole genome shotgun sequence.
GAGGGCGGGCCCCUCGGAGUCGGCUUGCAGGAGCAGGCUUCAAACCACCACAAGUGGCGUGAAUUAAGGGCUCAUGUGGUGAGCGUUGCUGGAAAAGGCGGAGUUCGACUCCGUCAGGU